CAUGAGCUGGAGGAGUCUCAUGAGCGCGCUGACAUUGCCGAGUCCCAGGUCAACAAGCUGAGAGCCAAGAGCCGUGAAGCUGGGAAGACUAAAGAUGAAGAAUGAACACAAGAAGCUACACCUACAAGCAAGCAUAUGACUGACUUUUUCUGUGUCCAUUAAAUGGCAGAGUUUGACUUUGUUCUCCAUUAUUUUUUCCACUUUCAAACUUUAUCACAUACUCAAUCACUGUUUUAAAAGACAACUCAUGAGGCAUGAUGUGG